UGGAGCAGCAUGAUGGUAGCUAAUGCUGUUAUUUUCACAUGUAAGAUGUAUGAGCUUCAGUUUGUCAUGCUAUUAUCAUGUAUAGUCAAAAAUGAUUAGUUUAAUCGGAAUUUAGAGUUUCAUUCUUAGUUCUCUGAAAUAUUGUUUUUAUAUGUAAUUCCUGCAUAGUGUAGUAUAUUGGGAGCCAAGGCCGAGUAGCAAGCCAUGUGUCACCGCAAGGACAGGAGCGAGAUUUAAUUAAUUGUAUUUGCAAGAUUUGGUAGUCCCUUCUUGUUUUCCUGGUCAUCUCACAGGUUUUAUCACUUACAUUUCCUUCUAUGGUGGUCUGAUCAUUGUACUUUGGGACAUUGUACUUUUAGGACGUAAUGUGCACUUCUGGUUGUUAUUUUAAAUUGCUCAUGUCUUGAUAUGUCUUUCAAAUUCUUGACAUCUGCGCCAGUAGCCUAAACCUCCAUGGCAUGCUCCAUCGGAGUAUUUUGUUUGUUGCACAAUUUUCAAGUGCGACCUUCCAAUUUAUUUUGUUGUAACUAUAAGGUUUGGCACCUCAGAUAAGUUCUCGAAAUACCAAUGUCAUAUUUCAAUUAGAAAAUAAGAUUUAGUUUGAUCAUGCAUGCAAUUGUAAUAACCCUACUUUGAUCUUUUAUGUACUGGUUUAAAUAGUUAAAUCUUCUAGAUUCUUUUGCAUAUUUUCUUGGAAUUAUACUAUGAGAGCAUCUUAGUUUUCACUAAGUGAUAAAAUACAUUUUCUAUUUCCGUAAUACAGGUCAUUAGUGGUCACUUUUGAUGGGUGCGAUCUGUAGCAUUUGAUCCAGGGAACAAAUGGUUUUGUCCUGGUUUUGCUGAUAGGACAAUAACGGCAAGGAAGAAGGUUGCAGAGCAUGGAUGGAUGUGAAAAGGAAGAGGAUGGAUGAGAGAGGAGAGAAGAGGGGUGAAAGAGGAUACAGAUGGAAAGAGGGAGAAGGACAGGGUGGAGGCGCUUCUUGAGGAUUAUUGUCGACUGAUUUCAUACUCUCUUAUAAAUUCAUGGUUAGCUAGGUAAACCUUUUGUACAACAGCUCUUGUUCAAAAGGAAGUUUGAUUUUUCGGCUUCUUAUUUUAGGUCAAUAUCAAGAACAGUUU